CUACAUUAGUCUACCCAGCCCUUCAGACAAGCUCUUUUCAUCCUUUUGUUGACAUGUAGAAAUUUUUUGAGUACACAUAUUUCCAGGUCCUUCCUUGUCAUGAUUGAAGUUUCAAAUGAUUAUGUGAUUUUCUGGCAAACUACAUUAGUCUACCCAGCCCUUCAGACAAGCUCUUUUCAUCCUUUUGUUGACAUGUAGAAAGCCUUUGAGCGUACAUAUUUCCAGGUCCUUCCUUGUCAUCAUGGAAGUUUCAAAUGAUUACAUGAUUUUCUGGCAAACUGCAUUAGUCUACCCAGCCCUUCAGACAAGCUCUUUUCAUCCUUUUGUUGACAUGUAGAAAGCCUUUGAGCGUACAUAUUUCCAGGUCCUUCCUUGUCAUCAUGGAAGUUUCAAAUGAUUACAGGAUUUUAGGGCAAACUGCAUUAGUCUACCCAGCCCUUCAGACAAGCUCUUUUCAUCCUUUUGUUGACAUGUAGAAAUUUUUUGAGUACACAUAUUUCCAGGUCCUUCCUCGUCAUAAUUGAAGUUUCAAAUGAUUACAUGAUUUUCUGGCAAACUGCAUUAGUCUACCCAGCCCUUCAGACAAGCUCUUUUCAUCCUUUUGUUGACAUGUAGAAAGUCUUUGAGCGUACAUAUUUCCAGGUCCUUCCUCGUCAUCAUGGAAGUUUCAAAUGAUUACAGGAUUUUAGGGCAAACUGCAUUAGUCUACCCAGCCCUUUGCAACCCUUCCUCAUUCAUUUGUUGACAUUUAUAGAGUUUCAUGUUCAUCUUUACACAUUACUUCAGGUCCUUGCAUAACCACAUCGCCUUAAUUUAUGCAGCCAUCCUAUUGAACCAUUUUUGCCGUAGAGUAACUCAGACACAUUCCCCCUUUCUGUCUUAGUUUUGUUUGUAGAUUGAAUUUUUCCCUCUCCUCCGUGGCUGGACGAGAGACGCUUUAGUGUAGAAACUCUUCAUAACAGUUGCCCAAGUGCUCCCGAGGAUGAUAUUUUUAUGCGGAGAAACAGUUGUCAAAAAGUAGCUGGAGGGAGUCAGGUGGGAUUUUCAAGUCUAGCAAACAGACUAAUGAAAAGAAAAUGGAUUAAUGUUUUUUUUUCCUAGCGUAGAGGUUAUUUAAGAAGGUUGGUGGAUUAAAGAGCCAAGUGGAUAGAAAAGGGAAAAGUAGCAGGAAAGAUUGUGGUGGGAUUUUAAAGUCUAGCAAAAAAGGCCAAGGAAAAAUGGAUUAAUGUUUUUUUCCAAGCCUAGCAUAGAGGUUAUAUAAGAAGGUCGGUGGAUUAAAGAGCCAAGUGGAUAGGAGAGUGAAAAGUGGCAGGAAAGAUUGAGGUGGGAUUUUAAAGUCUAGCAAAAAAGGCCAAGGAAAAAUGGAUUAAUGAUUUUUUUUUUUUUUUUUUUUUUUUUUUUUUUUACAGCCUAGCGUAGAGGUUAUAUAAGAAGGUCAGUGGAUUAAAGAGCCAAGUGGAUAGGAGAGUGAAAAGUGGCAGGAAAGAUUGAGGUGGGAUUUUAAAGUCCGGUAACAAGGAAGGCUAAUGAAAAAAUGGAUCAAUGUUUUUUUUUCAAGCUUAGCGUAGAGGUUAUAUAAGAAGGGCGGUGGAUUAAAGAGCCAAGUGGAUAGAAAAGGGAAAAGUAGCAGGAAAGAUUGAGGUGGGAUUUUAAAGUCCGGUAACAAGGAAGGCUAAUGAAAAA